UACGUAGGGUGCAAGCGUUGUCCGGAAUUAUUGGGCGUAAAGAGCUCGUAGGCGGUUUGUCGCGUCUGCUGUGAAAACCCGAGGCUCAACCUCGGGCCUGCAGUGGGUACGGGCAGACUAGAGUGCGGUAGGGGAGAUUGGAAUUCCUGGUGUAGCGGUGGAAUGCGCAGAUAUCAGGAGGAACACCAGUAGCGAAGGCGGGACUCUGGGCCGGAACUGACGCUGAGGAGCGAAAGCAUGGGGAGCGAACAGG
rnacentral:rRNA from 1 species